rnacentral:rRNA from 1 species
GAUGAACGCUAGCGAUAGGCUUAACACAUGCAAGUCGAGGGGCAGCAUGGUCUUAGCUUGCUAAGACUGGUGGCGACCGGCGCACGGGUGCGUAACGCGUAUGCAACUUGCCUCACAGAGGGGGAUAACCCGUCGAAAGACGGACUAAUACCGCGUACACUCCAUCUUGGGCAUCCAAGGUAGAGGAAAUGAAAUUCGCUGUGAGAUAGGCAUGCGUCCCAUUAGCUAGUUGGUGAGGUAACGGCUCACCAAGGCGACGAUGGGUAGGGGAACUGAGAGGUUGAACCCCCACACUGGUACUGAGACACGGACCAGACUCCUACGGGAGGCAGCAGUGAGGAAUAUUGGUCAAUGGGCGAGAGCCUGAACCAGCCAAGUCGCGUGAAGGAUGACUGUCUUAUGGAUUGUAAACUUCUUUUAUACGGGAAUAACAAGAGUCACGUGUGACUCCCUGCAUGUACCGUAUGAAUAAGCAUCGGCUAACUCCGUG